CGGCCACAUUGGGACUGAGAUACGGCCCAGACUCCUACGGGAGGCAGCAGUGGGGAAUAUUGCACAAUGGGCGCAAGCCUGAUGCAGCGACGCCGCGUGCGGGAUGACGGCCUUCGGGUUGUAAACCGCUUUUGACUGGGAGCAAGCCCUUCGGGGUGAGUGUACCUUUCGAAUAAGCACCGGCUAACUACGUGCCAGCAGCCGCGGUAAUACGUAGGGUGCAAGCGUUAUCCGGAAUUAUUGGGCGUAAAGGGCUCGUAGGCGGUUCGUCGCGUCCGGUGUGAAAGUCCAUCGCUUAACGGUGGAUCCGCGCCGGGUACGGGCGGGCUUGAGUGCGGUAGGGGAGACUGGAAUUCCCGGUGUAACGGUGGAAUGUGUAGAUAUCGGGAAGAACACCAAUGGCGAAGGCAGGUCUCUGGGCCGUCACUGACGCUGAGGAGCGAAAGCGUGGGGAGCGAACAGGAUUAGAUACCCUGGUAGUCCACGCCGUAAACGGUGGAUGGUGGAUGUGGGGACCAUUCCACGGUCUCCGUGUCGGAGCCAACGCGUUAAGCAUCCCGCCUGGGGAGUACGGCCGCAAGGCUAAAACUCAAAGAAAUUGACGGGGGCCCGCACAAGCGGCGGAGCAUGCGGAUUAAUUCGAUGCAACGCGAAGAACCUUACCUGGGCUUGACAUGUUCCCGACAGCCCCAGAGAUGGGGCCUCCCUUCGGGGCGGGUUCACAGGUGGUGCAUGGUCGUCGUCAGCUCGUGUCGUGGGAUGUUGGGUUAAGUCCCGCAACGAGCGCAACCCUCGCCCUGUGUUGCCAGCACGUCGUGGUGGGAACUCACGGGGGGCCGCCGGGGUCAACUCGGAGGAAGGUGGGGAUGACGUCAGAUCAUCAUGCCCCUUACGUCCAGGGCUUCACGCAUGCUACAAUGGCCGGUACAACGGGAUGCGACACCGCGAGGUGGAGCGGAUCCCUUAAAACCGGUCUCAGUUCGGAUUGGAGUCUGCAACCCGACUCCAUGAAGGCGGAGUCGCUGGUAAUCGCGGAUCAGCAACGCCGCGGUGAAUGCGUUCCCGGGCCUUGUACACACCGCCCGUCAAGUCAUGAAAGUGGGUAGCACCCGAAGCCGGUGGCCCAACCUUUUGGGGGGAGCCGUCUAAGGUGAGACUCGUGAUUGGGACUAAGUCGUAACAAGGUAGCCGUACCGGAAGGUGCGGCUG
rnacentral:rRNA from 1 species